CCUACGGGAGGCUGCAGUGGGGAAUAUUGCACAAUGGGCGCAAGCCUGAUGCAGCCAUGCCGCGUGUGUGAAGAAGGCCUUCGGGUUGUAAAGCACUUUCAGCGGGGAGGAAGGCGUUAAGGUUAAUAACCUUGGCGAUUGACGUUACCCGCAGAAGAAGCACCGGCUAACUCCGUGCCAGCAGCCGCGGUAAUACGGAGGGUGCAAGCGUUAAUCGGAAUUACUGGGCGUAAAGCGCACGCAGGCGGUCUGUCAAGUCGGGUGUGAAAUCCCCGGGCUCAACCUGGGAACUGCAUUCGAAACUGGCAGGCUAGAGUCUUGUAGAGGGGGGUAGAAUUCCAGGUGUAGCGGUGAAAUGCGUAGAGACCUGGAGGAAUACCGGUGGCGAAGGCGGCCCCCUGGACAAAGACUGACGCUCAGGUGCGAAAGCGUGGGGAGCAAACAGGAUUAGAUACCCGGGUAGUC
rnacentral:rRNA from 1 species